rnacentral:rRNA from 1 species
CACGUAGGGGACGAGCGUUGUCCGGAUUCAUUGGGCGUAAAGCGCGCGUGAGGCGGCUCGGAAAGUCGGUCGUGAAAUGCCGGGGCUCAACCCCGGGACUGCGUCCGAUACUUCCGGGCUGGAGGUAGGUAGGGGAGAUCGGAAUUCCUGGUGUAGCGGUGAAAUGCGCAGAUAUCAGGAGGAACACCGGUGGCGAAGGCGGAUCUCUGGGCCUUACCUGACGCUGAGGCGCGAAAGCUAGGGGAGCGAACAGG